rnacentral:misc_RNA from 1 species
GAUGAAGAACGCAGCGAAAUGCGAUAAGUAGUGUGAAUUGCAGAAUUCCGUGAAUCAUCGAAUCUUUGAACGCACAUUGCGCCUCCCGGUAUUCCGGGAGGCAUGCCUGUCCGAGCGUCAUUACAAUCACCUCAAGCGAGCCCCAGCUUGGACGUGGCGGAAGAGACCCGUGGUGAUGCACAGUCUCCCCGCCGAAAUACAAUGUGGCGGAACGUCUCUGGUCCCUGGCGUAGUAAUGACGUUCGCUUUGUACCCGGAGUCAUUCCAGCCGUUCGACCCCCAUCAUUCUCUUGAUUGACCUCGGAUCAGGUAGGGAUACCCGCUGAACUUAAGCAUAUCAAUAAGCGGAGGGA